UGUGGAAUAUUGGACAAUGGGCGAAAGCCUGAUCCAGCAAUGCCGCGUGAGUGAUGAAGGCCUUAGGGUUGUAAAGCUCUUUUACCCGGGAUGAUAAUGACAGUACCGGGAGAAUAAGCCCCGGCUAACUCCGUGCCAGCAGCCGCGGUAAUACGGAGGGGGCUAGCGUUGUUCGGAAUUACUGGGCGUAAAGCGCACGUAGGCGGCUUUGUAAGUUAGAGGUGAAAGCCCGGGGCUCAACUCCGGAAUUGCCUUUAAGACUGCAUCGCUAGAAUUGUGGAGAGGUAAGUGGAAUUCCGAGUGUAGAGGUGAAAUUCGUAGAUAUUCGGAAGAACACCAGUGGCGAAGGCGACUUACUGGACACAUAUUGACGCUGAGGUGCGAAAGCGUGGGGAGCAAACA
rnacentral:rRNA from 1 species